GGCUGGAGUCGGGCAAUGGAGAGACUGACUUGGUGGCCCCUGGAGCUGAGUUCCCAUACUGGCACUUUGUGCCAAGCUCAGGCCCUUCCUCCACCACAAAGAACAAGAACUCAAAACCUAACCACCAAUAUGGAGCCUGAAAUGGCACAGAUACGAUCAGAAAUUGUAAACAGUUCAGCUUAAAUGGGACGAAAGAUGCCUCUCUAUGGAGAGCAGGUAAGACUGUGGCAGAUCUUGGUAUUUCUAAGUGACUUAAAAGGGAGACAAUAUCAUGGACAGUUAAUA
rnacentral:lncRNA from 1 species